GGACCAGAAUCCCUUCUGCUGGGUGAGCCACAUAUGAUGGAGCUCUGAGGCAGUGAGGGUGCAAGAAGACACGACUUUGCCUGUGAAGUGGCCAAGGAAAUAAACAUACAACCUUGAGGCUUUGAACUUCAACUUCCACACCAAUACAAGCUACAAAUCAUGAGUGAGGACCAAAUGAUGUUGUCAGUUACGUGGGAACCAGGGGUCAUUCUUCCGUGAAUUCAGAGUCAGCACUGAAGGAAGAUGGCUUGACAACCAAGACCAACGGAAAGCCACAUGGCAGUGAGACAGCCUCUCUGGAAAGCCAGCAUCUGCCGUGGAGCAGUUGGUUCCACAUAAACAGGAAAUUUGAAGCCCCAAAUAUUUUGAUUCAGCCUUGUUUAAAAUUAUUGGUGAGACUGUAUGUUAAGAGGCUAAACAGUAUGAAGCUAGAUGCAUGUGGGCAGAAAAUAAUUGUUGAUACAACCUUUUGUUUGAAAAACGGAGAAGUUGAAAAUUUUACCUAGAGAAAUGAAAGAUUGAGCCAGGAAGGUGGAGUCUACUUAACUUAGACUUAGUUUGUCACCAGGAAAAUUGAGUUUUAUCUAGUCACUUUACCAAAAACGUUCCCAGUGAAUAGCAAAUAAUCAUCUCCAAGGAACUCUGAUCUGUGACCUGUGACCUAUGAUCUAGGCCUAUUUAGGUUUAUGUUAGAAACUGGA
rnacentral:lncRNA from 1 species